UCCGUCAUUUUGCUCUAAUCUGACCUAUUAACAAGCUCCGCGUGCUUACGUAUUGGGUUUCCACGUGGUUUCCUUUCCCUCUUGCCACUGUUGUUGCAAGUUUUUGCAAAUAACUUUUUGCCCUUUUCGCUUCCUUGUUUGAUUUACUGCUUCUUCCUCUUUGUUUUUUCCUUUUGAAUUUGACAUGGUUCCGAAUAAUAUUUUGCUACAUUUUCUGUAUGCAUGUAUUACUGUUUACUCCUUUUGAUCCAGUUGUAAUAAUUUCGGGUGAAGAUUGAUGAACCAAAGGUGUUCGAUGAUAUGCCUGAAACAACUAAAUCAUUAAGUAAGAUUCUUACUGCGGCUGCUGGAUUUGCUUGCAACAACACAGGUUGCUAUUUGUGAAUUUCGACGAACAAUAGGAAAACAAAAGGAUUUUGGAGCUCACAUUUCUCCAGCUAAGGAAACAAAGGCUAUUCUCUUCACUGACAAACAGGUUUCAAUUUUGGUUCGAAUUUUUCUCCCUGAUCACUAAUGGGGAAAAAAAUAUUGAGCUUGUAGUAGGGGAAACAAAGCUGAUGAAACUCGAGGUGUGAAAGUGUCACUCAACACCAUCGACCUCAAGCAGCAUGUUGAUCUUCAUCAGUUAAUGCUUCCCUAUCUCGAAAAUUGUAUCUAUAUUUCGGAGAAGUAGUGGUAAGGCCUGUGCACACUCUACCUUCUUCAGAUUCCACUUUGUGAGAUUUCACUAGGUAUGUUGUUGUUGUUGUUGGUCACUUCAUCACUUUUCUCUAUUACUUCCAGUUCUUUUAUGCAUCUACAUAUGGGAUGUAUCAUCUUACGCUCUCCAUAUGAUGUAGUUCAUUUCCUUUGUUACCACAACACCAUCAAGUCUUCUGUCAAGGAAAUAAGGUGGCAAAUAAAUUACAUAAGCCAACGUCGGAAUGUCACUGAAUUGAGUAGUAUAGGCAAAUAGCAACCUAUGAGACGACGCAACCUAAUAACAAACACGGUUGGUCAACUAUAAAGUUUCAGGUUAGGUAGUAUACACUGAACAUCUUACUUUAUUAUUUUCUCACCCUGUUAAAUUGUAAUCUUUAUCCAUUAUACCUCAACAUUUUGAUUAAUUAGAUCGAAGCAUAUUAGUUCAUGUGAGAUGUUUGAUUAUUAUGUUUGAAUAAGGUUAAUAUGUUGAUAUUCAAACAUAUUAAGUUAUUUGAGAUGUUAUUCUGUUUGUGCAUUUCAAGUUCACUUUUUCCGACUUAAUUUUGAAUUUUUUUGAGUAUUUGGUGUAAAUAUGAGAUUCAUAUGAAAGGUAUUCUCUUCUACUGUAUGAAAGACUCUAAGACCCGAUGAGUCAUCUGCUUCUUCAGUUUAGUAGAAAUUCUUUCAUGCUAUUGCAUGAAACAUUUGCCUGGUCUCUUAUUGCUAUCUGAACUAGCUUGAAAAGUAUGGUUGCUCUCUUCUUUUCUGUUGAUCCUUAUCGAGAAUUUCCUCCUUUUUCCACUCUGCCCUGAAGAUUACCUAUAUAGGCUUCACAACCAUCCCUGCUUGCAUUUUUAUAAAAAGAUCAAUAGUGGUUGUCAAGCAUCUCCCCAAUACAUUUGUAUUACCCACCAAACAAGAAAAUAUUUCUAACAUAUUUAUUAUAUUUGGUUUCCAAUUGUCUUUGGCAAGGCCAACAAGUUAAAUUAAUUGAUGAUUCCUCUGUGGUUCAGCUUGAUUCUCUUAUCUGAACCUUGAGUGAGAUUUAAUAACAAUUUUCCAAUUGUCGACUUUCAUAUAUGUUUCUUAUAUUCUUCUUUGUCCUGCUUCAUGUUUUCCAAUUGCAGGGAGAAUUCUGAUUUUUGUUACUCUAGGUUGAAACUUAGUGUUCUUGAAUCUCACAAAUUUAAUAGGUAUAGCAUAUUAGUCAUAUGAAUUGAAGCUAACAUAAUUAUUGGUUACUCUUUAGGAUGAUGAUAAUCCUUCUUUGUCAAAUGCUUACAUGGCGUCCAAAAAUUUUCAAAUUCUGAAUUUUAUAGUUAUUCUACCAUCUAUUAUUGCGAGAGAUGGGACUUGAGGAUCACUGCAUUAAACAUGAGAAGUGGCUGACAUGUUUGAGCCAGGUGUGGCACCAAAUGCUAUAACAAGGAUGUCACUAACAUUGAAGAGUUCUCUUACUAUUUUGGAGCUAUUAAUGCAAGGUAAACAAAUGGAUAGGAAACGUGGCAGAAGGCUGAAAUUAGAUAUGUUACAUGUAAAUUUCUUUUUUUCCAGAUUAAGGACAAUUAUGUAAUUUUCUUUUUCCAAUUUCUAUUUUUGCUUGCCGCAUGUUUCCAAAGAUCCACACAGUGGAUCUAAAAACUUCCACAUCUUUUAUUCUCAAAAUCCUACUUUUAUGUUCCAUGAAGAACAACAGCUUCAUUUCAUCCCAAUUUUAGAAAGGUUUGCUCCUUACAACAACAAGGAAAGGGUACAUCUCAUUUCCCGUGUUUUCUCUUCAUGGAUAUUGUGGGUUUUCUUUUCAAUCUCAAUUGUUGCUUCUUAGAUUUGCUAAACUUUCUUACUGGUGGUGCGUUUUUGGCUUGAUUUGCUGGGUUUAUGUGUUAUUCAAUGUUUUCUUUUCUAUCCUAAAUUACCACCUUCUACUUGGAGUCAAUUUUUAUUUAUUUUGUUUUUUAAUUUAUGUGUGAACGUCACUUGCUGGAUUUGCACGCGAGCUGCUAUUUGUUGGGAGUUUCGACGAACAAUAGGAAAACAAAAGGUAUAAGAAUGACCCAGUUGCCCUAGAAAAAUUUAUGUGAAGCAAGAUGUUUUGUUAUUAGUGGACUGAAGUCUUUGGCAUUAAUGAAAUGGUGAAGCAUUGUUCACCAGUGUAGUGUGCACUGCAGACAAUGUGGAGGUGACUUUUUGAGAAGGACAUGUAUUAGGUCUUAACCAUAGAACACCCUUUCCUUUUGACAUUCUGGUCUACCUUGUGUCAUACAUAGACCCAGUGUAGUUUUUGUUCACUAUGCACCGUCUUUUGGUUAUUCCCAUAUAUGUAUUUCUGUUCAGUAUGGAUAGAACGUUGCAGUAGAUAAACUCACUACAUUUCUUCUUU